rnacentral:sRNA from 1 species
UCGAUCUGCUGCGGGCAGAUGAAAUGGAUGUGGCUGUCGAUGCCGCCGGCGGUGACGAUCAUGCCUUCGCCGGCGAUGACCUCGGUGCCUGGGCCGACGACGAUGGUCACCCCGGGCUGGAUAUCCGGGUUGCCGGCCUUGCCGAUGGCGGCGAUGCGGCCGCCCUUCAGGCCGAUGUCAGCCUUGAUGAUGCCGGUGACGGCGUCGACGAUCAGCGCGUUGGUGAUGACGGUAUCGACGGUUUCCGCCGACACGCGCUGGCUCUGGCCCAUGCCGUCGCG